UACGAAUCGUCCAAACGUUGUUCGGAAUCACUGGGCUUAAAGGGCGCGUAGGCGGUGCGUUAAGUCGGUGGUGAAAUACUUCGGCUCAACCGGAGAAUUGCCGCUGAAACUGGCGUGCUCGAGGGAGGUAGGGGUAUGCGGAACUUCUGGUGGAGCGGUGAAAUGCGUUGAUAUCAGAAGGAACGCCGGUGGCGAAAGCGGCGUACUGGACCUCUUCUGACGCUGAGGCGCGAAAGCUAGGGGAGCAAACGGG
rnacentral:rRNA from 1 species